rnacentral:rRNA from 1 species
AUUGAACGCUAGCGGGAUGCUUUACACAUGCAAGUCGAACGGAGUGGCGGACGGGUGAGUAAUAUAUCGGAACGUGCCCAGUAGCGGGGGAUAACUACUCGAAAGAGUGGAUAAUACCGAAUAUUAUUUGAGCGGCCGAUAUCGGAUGAGCUAGUUGGUGGGGUAAAGGCUCACCAAGGUAACGAUUCGUAGCUGUUUUGAGAGGACGACCAGCCACACGGGGACGGGGACACGGCCCAGACUCCGACGGGAGGCAGCGUUGGGGAAUUUUGGACAAUGGGGGAAACCCUGAUCCAGCCAUCCCGCGUGUAUGAUGAAGGCCUUCGGGUUGUAAAGUACUUUUGGCAGAGAAGCGGUAUCUGCAGAAUAAGCACCGGCUAACUACGUGCCAGCAGCCGCGGUAAUAC